GCGGUAAUACCUUGUAGGAAACACCGGUUCUCUUCUGAUCACCGAGGUUAAGCAAUGUCGUGCGUGGGUGACUGGCUGCGAAUACCGGGUGUCAAGUCC
rnacentral:rRNA from 1 species